AGAAAAUGAAUUAUCUAACAGUUUUAGUCUCAUUUUAUCCUAAUAUCCUCUUUCCUGUUGACUGAUUACAUUCCUUUUACUUUACCUGAUCAACAAACUUUUAGUGUAUCCUUCUCUGUCUGCCUUUUGUCUAGCCUAGUGUUAAAACAAAACAUUUUACUUUGGUCACUGUGAGUGAGACCCUUUGUUUAGAGCCCAACCAGCUCCAGGGGAUUU